CAGCAGCCACGGUAAUACGAAGGGGGCUAGCGUUGCUCGGAAUGACUGGGCGUAAAGGGCGCGUAGGCGGCGGCCAAAGUCAGGCGUGAAAUUCCCGGGCUCAACCUGGGGGCUGCGUUUGAUACUUGGUUGCUUGAGUGGGGAAGAGGGUCGUGGAAUUCCCAGUGUAGAGGUGAAAUUCGUAGAUAUUGGGAAGAACACCGGUGGCGAAGGCGGCGACCCGGUCCUUUACUGACGCUGAGGCGCGAAAGCGUGGGGAGCAAACAGGAUUAGAUACCCGCGUAGUCCCUGUCUCUUAUAC
rnacentral:rRNA from 1 species